AUAAAACUCCGGCGAACUUCCGGUGAACAUUCGCCGUGCUUUUUCGGCCAUGUUUUUCAUCUUCCGCGAAUUCUGCUUCUACCCGAGUUAAUUGUUCUCCGAAUUGUAUUGUUGUCUAGCAUCUGCCGGCCACAUCCUUGAGCCUCCUAGUUCCGACUUCGGUCCCUCCAUUCGUGCACAGGGGGAGGAAGCCAUCGCUGCCCUGUGCGAUAGCCUUGACGCAGACCGGCGCCGACCUUCCAUGCGUGGGCCUAGCCCCGGCCGGUGCGGACCAAGCUAUCGGCAGGCCAACUGACCAAGGAUCAGCGGCCGUGGCACCCCAGCUAGUCGUCCUUCUCCCCUGGCCAAGGGUCUCCGCUGAGCUUCAAUGGACGAUGGUCAUGGAGGCCACGGGUGUUCUGCACGUUCUGUUCAAAGGAAGACGACGAGAUAUUUACAACUUCGCCACUGACGAGAACUGUUUGUGGACGCUGAAGAUGAGAAGAUGAUGACCAAAAGUUGAUGGUGUGAGAAUUGAGCAAGUGCUUAAG